GUUGUAGCUCAGUGGUAAAGCGCUUGCCUAGCAUGUGUGAGGCCCUGGGUUUCAUCCCGAGUACAACA
rnacentral:tRNA from 1 species